CGUGCAGGCGGCUCACUAAGUCUGAUGUGAAAGCCCCGGGCUCAACCCGGGAAGUGCAUUGGAAAGUGGCGAACUUGAGUACGGGAGAGGGAAGUGGAAUUCCGAGUGUAGGGGUGAAAUCCGUAGAUAUUCGGAGGAACACCAGUGGCGAAGGCGGCUUCCUGGACCGAUACUGACGCUGAGACGCGAAAGCGUGGGGAGCAAACA
rnacentral:rRNA from 1 species